rnacentral:rRNA from 1 species
CCUACGGGUGACAGCAGUGGGGGAUAUUGCACAAUGGGGGGAACCCUGAUGCAGCGACGCCGCGUGGGUGAAGGAGCGUUUCGGCGCGUAAAGCCCUAUCGGCAGGGAAGCAGGAGGACGGUACCUGACUAAGAAGCACCGGCUAACUACGUGCCAGCAGCCGCGGUAAUACGUAGGGGGCAAGCGUUAUCCGGAUUUACGGGGUGGAAAGGGGGCGCAGAGGGGAGCGCAAGCCAAGAGUGAAAGCCCGGGGCCCAACCCCGGGGCCGCUCUUGGAACUGCGCGGCUGGAGGGCAGGAGGAGCAGGCGGAAUUCCUGGUGUAGCGGUGAAAUGCGUAGAUAUCAGGAGGAACACCGGUGGCGAAGGCGGCCUGCUGGACUGCGACUGACGUUGAGGCCCGAAAGCGUGGGGAGCAAACAGGAUUAGAUACCCGAGUAGUC